ACAGGCUUGAGCCACUGUGCCCGGCCAAAACCAAAAUUUUAAAUAGGUUUAAUUAUAAAGUGAAGGACCAGUUGGAUCAUGAACUCCUAGAAACUCAGCCAAGGAUACUUGACUUUAUCUGAUAUAGGCAGGCAGUGGUUAAAAUAAAAAAGGAUGGUGGUGAUUGGAAGAGCAGGACUGAAGUUUUCAUUCCUCUACCUACUGGGGCCUUGACCAAGUCUUAAAGCUUUCUGGGUCUGUAGCUGAAACUGUAAAAUGGGGAAAAGGCUGCCUUUUCUGCCACAUGAAGUAGCUGGCUGGUGAAAUGUCAUGCUACAAUGUGUUUCAUUAACUGUUGGAGAUUAUCACAUCAAAUUGAGCACAUUUGGAUCUUUUACAUUUGAUGCUCGUUUGAUUUUGUACCAGACCUGUGUUCAGGGUGAUGGCCUGUUGGGGGUGGGAGGGGAUGGUGGGCAGGAGUCUGAUGUGUAACGGACAGGUGUUCCUUGAGUGACUACAGACUUCUGAAGGGGGUGUUUAAUUGAAAUCUAGCGGCUUGUCUCUCUGCCAUCAGCAUUUCGGAGGGUGGGUGGAAAAAGCUCUCUGUAACUGAGAGCCCUCCUGCUGCUGGUUUCAGGUUCCCACCCAACUGAUUGCAGUCUUGACCUUGACAUCAGCUGCCUGGGCUUUCUACUUGGCUGCAAGGGUUCUUCAGAAAGCACCUAGUUCCUUUUGGUCUUUAUCUGCACUUUAGGUCUCCAUAGCUUGUGACACAGAAAAAGCCUUCCUCUAAUGCUCAAAAAGGCUGCUAACCAGCAGGAACGUCCUAAACCAAGAGUGGUGACCUCUCUCUAGACAGAAUAACCAUCUAGUCCCUAAUGGGACAGAAAACUAGGGUUUGAGUUAAGGCGUGACACAGGAGUGACGGGUGUAAGGUGGACAGCCCAGACCCAGAAGGGGUAUGUGUGGAGGCAGCAGCCAUUCUUGUGGUGCAGUUACUUACUGCUUGUGUGGCUUCACGGCAGCAGAUAAUUUGUGGAAAUAAACAUUUUCUUUUUUUUUUUCUGUCCCUUAUAGGCUACUUGACCCUGGAUAGUUUCUCUUUAAACCUUUGUCUUUCCCCAUUUUGUUUAGUAGUGAUAAAAGAUGGGUUUAAAAUGUACAGAAAUGGAAAAAAAUUAGAGAAAAUGUGAGGAUUUUAUAACUGAUACAUGUUCUUAAUCUUAUUUGAAUAAGCAGUAUUCACCAGCAUUUUUCUUCUGAAAUCACCACGUUUCUUCUCUUUUGAGGCACCACCUGGCAGUGCCAUUUAAACCUGUAUCUGCUGUGGUCCCAGUUACUCAGGAGGCUGAGUCAGGAAGACUGCUUGAGCCCACAAGGUUGAGGCUGCAGUGCACUCCAGCGUUGGUGACAGGGCAAGGCUCUAGCUGGCUGCCAGUGAAUUCUGUUGUGCAUCUGACUUUGGACCUCAGAAUCCUCACCUGGAACAUGAGAGGACAGUACCCAAAAUCUUGCUGACUGAGCACAGAGCAAGCCUGGGACAUUGCUACCAUCUUUGGGAGUCAGGCCUCACUUACACAGAGCGUUCUGAAUCUCUGACUGUAAUGCCUGUCUCUGGGCUGCUCAACAGAGCUGAGUAGCUGGGAAGGCUGAUGGCUCAACUCAACUGCCAAGUUCCUUCCAGGCACGCUCACCCAAAGGAAAAUGGAGUGAAGAAAUCACCAGCA